rnacentral:rRNA from 1 species
AUUGAACGCUGGCGGCAUGCCUUACACAUGCAAGUCGAACGGUAACGGGCCUUCGGGUGCCGACGAGUGGCGAACGGGUGAGUAAUGCAUCGGAACGUACCUUUCAGUGGGGGAUAACGUAGCGAAAGUUACGCUAAUACCGCAUAUUCUGUGAGCAGGAAAGCAGGGGAUCGCAAGACCUUGCGCUGAGUGAGCGGCCGAUGUCAGAUUAGCUAGUUGGUGAGGUAAAGGCUCACCAAGGCGACGAUCUGUAGCGGGUCUGAGAGGAUGAUCCGCCACACUGGAACUGAGACACGGUCCAGACUCCUACGGGAGGCAGCAGUGGGGAAUUUUGGACAAUGGGGGCAACCCUGAUCCAGCCGUGCCGCGUGAGUGAAGAAGGCCUUCGGGUUGUAAAGCUCUUUCGGCCGGGAAGAAAUCGUAUGGGCUAAUACCCUGUGCGGAUGACGGUACCGGCAUAAGAAGCACCGGCUAACUACGUGCCAGCCGCCGCCGUAAAAC